GGGCCCCGAGAAAGCGUGCAGGGCCGGGGGCGAGGGCCCGGCUUGAAGAGGGGGCAUGGCCAGCGUCCCGCAGCUGUUGGACGACCUAUGCGAGGCCCUGCUGCCGGCCGCGAAGGUGCACCUGGGCCAGCGCCGCGGGAGCCGGAAGAGGGCAAAGCAGAGCCUCAAGAGGGUGGCCUACAACGCGCUGUUCACCAGCCUCUUUCAAGAUGAGACUCGCAGGCUGCAGCCUGACUUCUCAAGACUCCCGGUGAAAAACAAGAUCCUCAUGCUGUCCUUUGACUUGCGAGUGGGUGGCCUGGGCGCCGAGGCCGACCGUCUGGAGGAGCUGGUGGAGGGACUGGAGGCGGCGCCCGGCCGGCCCCUGGCGGAGAUGGGCUCGGUUCUGGACCUCCUGGUGCAGCUGUCGGGCAGCGGCCCCCCGCGAGCUCCACGGCGCGGGCGGGACUACUUCCUUCCCCGCGGGCCGGUCGGGAGGAGAGUUACCUACGGCGGCUACGACUGCGGCGACCUGCGCGCGUUUGAGGCGGACGUGGGCGCUCUCAUCUCCGGGGAGGAAAGUCUGUGUCAAGACCUGAUCCGGAGGACGCUUCAGGUGAUGGAGGCGGCGCCGGGCACCGGGCUACUCUUCUCGUACGGCGACCCUAGCGGUGACAGGUUUGAGAGGGACACCCGCGUCUCUCUCUUCGGAGCCCUCGUGCACAGCCGCACAAACGACAUGGACGUCCGGCUGGACCUGCCCCCGGUACCGGACAGCGCCGACCUCGCGGGACUGGCCAUCAAGGUCCCUCCGAGUGUGGAUCCAUCGGAAGAUGAAGGGUUCCAGUCAGCAUCCAAUCUGACUCCUGAUUCCCAGUCUGAGCCGAGCAUGACCCCAGAUGUUGACCUGUGGGAUGCUGUGCUCACCUACGAGGCCAGCAAGCGGAGGUGCUGGGAGCAAGUUGGAUGCACCCCCGGCCACAGAGAGGAGCCCUACCUCACAGAGGCAGGCAGGGACGCCUUCGACAGGUCCUGCAGGCUCCGCCAUGGGGAGCUGCAGGUGGUGGGCGGGGGCCUCCUGCAGGCCCCGCAGCCCAUCCUGGUGAGGGAGCGCGAGCUGGUGAAGGAUGCCCUGAACGUCCUGAUUGGGGUUGUGUCCACCACGUUUUCUCUGUGCCAGCCGGCUCAGGCCUUCACGGUGAAGCAGGGCGUCCACGUGUCAGGAGCGUCCCCCGAGAGCAUGAGCAGCCUCCUCUCAGAGGUGGCCGAGUGCGGGACCCACUAUGCGCGCCUGAGCCACUUCUCCCUGCAGCCUGUGCUGGACUCCUCAUGCAGCAGGGGCCUCGUGUUCCAGGCCUUCACCAGUGGCCUGAGGAGGUACCUGCAGUACUACCGGGCCUGCGUCCUCUCCACGCCGCCCACCCUGAGCCUCCUCACCAUUGGCUUCCUCUUCAAGAAGCUGGGCCGGCAGCUCAGGUACCUGGCUGAGCUCUGUGGUGUCGGCACUGGCACUGCACUCCCGGGCGCUGGUGGAGGGGAGCCCAGGGCUGCGGCUGCCUUCCCCACUGGCGUGAGGCUGCUCUCCUACCUCUACCAGGAGGCCCUGGACAACUGCAGCAACGAACACUACCCGGUGCUGCUGUCUCUGCUGAAGACCAGCUGCGAGCCCUACACGCGGUUCAUUCACGACUGGGUGUACAGUGGGGUCUUCAGAGAUGUUUAUGGAGAGUUCAUGAUCCAGGUGAACCAGGAGUACUUGGGCUUCAGAGACAAGUUUUACUGGACCCAUGGCUACGUGCUCAUUUCCAAAGAGGUGGAGGACUGCGUGCCCGUGUUCUUGAAACACGUUGCUCAUGACGUGUAUGUCUGCGGAAAGACCAUCAACCUGCUGAAGCUCUGCUGCCCCCGGCAUUACCUCUGCUGCUCUGAUGUUCCUGUCCCUCGCAUCUCGGUGAUUUUCUCCCUGGAGGAGUUGAAGGACAUAGAGAAGGACUGUGCCAUCUACGUGGGACGGAUGGAGAGGGUGGCGCGCCACAGCUCCAUCAGCAAGGAGGAGAAGGAAUUACGAAUGGAAAUUGCAAAACAAGAAUUAAUCAUCCAUGCCCGGGAAGCGGCGUCCAGGGUCCUGAGUGAGCUCAGUGAUCGGCAGAUGUCUGUGCGGAUGGCCUUGGAUGCCCGGAAGCGAGAGCAGUUUCAGAGGCUGAAGGAGCAGUUCGAGAAGGACCAGGAGCGACGCCGGGUGGCCAGGCAGGAGGAGCUGGAUGAUGACUUCAGCUACGCUCGUGAGCUCCGGGACCGGGAGAAGAGGCUGAAAGCCCUGGAGGAGCAGCUGGAGAGGAAGGCGAGGCAGGCGCUGGUGGACCAUUACAGCCAGCUGUCUGCGGAGGCUGCUCGCCGGGAGCAGAGGGCACUGUGGAAGGUCCAGAGGCGAAGACUGGCCAGCGCUCGGCUUCGCUUUCUCUUGGAUGAUCAGAAACAGAUUCAGGAGAUGCUGAAAGAUGUGUCUGAGGGGAAGCCCUUGGAGCUGCUGGCUGCCCUCUCUGGUGCCCACUCCCAGGCCUCCUUCCUGGGCCCCCAGCACCCAGCCAGAGGCAGCGGCAGUGAUUCUGGGCGUGCAGAGCAGCACGAGGCUGCCUGGGAUUGCUCCAAUAGCCAGAGUGUGCUGACACCGAAGCCCCUCCAGUCUCCAGCAGUGGGGGCCUGCGGCUCACAGCCUGGAGCGGGCCUGCCGUUGGGGCAGGCAGAGGGGCCAGAGCCAUUCUCUGUGGGCCUCAGCAUCCAGGACUUCCUGCCCAUGGCCCCGGGGGCUGAGCAGCUUGCGUUCCCCUGCUCGGCCCCCGUCCUGGAGGACGCACUGCAGACCAUUGGCUCAGACCUGCCUCUGGUGGCUCCAUCUGCACUGGUGGGCUCAGGGCCCCCUGGGCCACAGGAGUACGAUUUCAGAACCAUCCUGAGGCCGGCUAUGGCCGCCUCAGCUUCCCCAGGGUUCCUCCAGACAGUAGGAGGUGGCUUGGGCAGUGAGGGGCAGCAGCUGUGGGAGGACACUCACACGCAGCUGGACAUGUGUGUCCCGGAUGGGCAGGUCCCCAGGCACACCUCCCCCCAGGAGGGUAGCAGCCAGGCCACAAGGCAGCUCCUUGGGCAGGUGUCAGAGGGUGGUGUUCCCAUAGGGGGUUACGCCUCUGGAAUGACUCCCUCCUGGCCACAGUGGAAUGUCCACAGACACGUGUCUGAUGCCAGCAUCAGGGUGGGGGAGAACGUAUGGGACGUGGCCCCUUCCCGGCCACGUUGGAAUGUCCACGGACAUGUGUCUGAUGCCAGCAUCCGGGUCGGGGAGAAUGUGUGGGACGUGGCCCCCUCCCGGCCACGGUGGAAUGUCCACGGACACGUGUCUCAGUCCCAUGUAACACUAGGGAUGCUCCCAGGGGAAGCUGAGUCUAAUGUGCCCAGGCCCCACUGGACGCCCCCUGAUCAUAGGUCCCAGUCAGAUCUUAGCUUGGGGGCCCAGAGCCCUGCCCAGGAACAUGAGCCCCAGCCGCCCACAGAAACAGCCUCAGGCAGGUCCUGCGUGCACAUGGCUGGCUCCGGCUCUGGCCUGGAGGAGAGUGGCCUCCAGUCCUCGUUCUCUGAGGGGGCUGCGCCUGCUGCCCUGGGAGAUGGCACGCCUGAGGAGCCAGGCCCAGGGAGGAGCGGGGACACUGAAGACCUCUCUCCAAGUUGCCCUCCAGGCUCCCAGGAAGGCAUGGCUGCCCAGAGCAGCCCAGACCUUGGCGAGGAGGCAGUCCAGCGCUGGGGCCAGGAGCAGGCCUACUUGGCAGGCCUGGCGGGGCAGUACUGCCUGGAGCGGUACCCGGACAGCUUUGAGGCCAUGUCAGAGCCUCCCAUCGCCCGCCUCCUGCACCACGGGCUUCCGAGAGCCUUUACCCUCCCCGAGGAAGCCCGGGUCCAGUCGGACGCGGACGAGACCGCGGUGCAGCUGAGUGAGCUGCUGCCCCUGCCCGUGCUCAUGAAGCACUCCAUCACUGCCCCUCUGGCCGCCCACGUCUCCCUGGUCAACAGAGCAGCCGUUGACUACUUCUUCGUGGAGCUGCGCCUGGGGGCACACUUCGAGGCACUGCGGCACUUCCUUCUGAUGGAGGACGGGGAGUUUGCCCAAUCCCUCAGCGACCUGCUCUUUGAGAAGCUCGGGGCGGGGCAGACGCCCGGGGAGCUUCUCAGCCCACUGGCGCUCAACGCAGUGCUGAGCAAGGCCCUGCAGUACAGCCUGCACGGCCACACCCCGCACGCCGCCAACCUCUCCUUUGCCCUCAAGUUCCUGCCUGAGGCCUUUGCCCCCAAUGCCCCGGACGUGCUGAGCUGCCUGGAGCUCAGGUACAAGGUCGACUGGCCCCUCAACAUCGUGGUCACCGAGAGCUGCCUGAGCCGGUACAGCGGAAUCUUCUCCUUCCUGCUGCAGCUGAAGCUUAUGAUGUGGACCCUCAAGGACAUCUGCUGCCACCUCAAGCGCACAGCCCGGGUGAGCCAGGCAGCCGGCUCAGUGCAGUUCCGGCAGCUGCAGCUGUUCAAGCACGAGAUGCAGCACUUCGUGAAGGUCACCCAGGGCUACAUUGCCAACCAGAUCUUGCACGUCACCUGGCGUGAGUUCCGGGCAAGGCUGGCCUCGGUGGGUGACCUGGAGGAGAUCCAGCGCGCCCACGCCGAGUACCUGCACAAAGCUGUCUUCAGGGGCCUGCUGACAGAGAAGGCGGCACCCGUCAUGAACGUCAUCCACAGCAUCUUCAGCCUGGUCCUGAAGUUCCGCAGUCAGCUCAUCUCCCAGCCCUGGGGCCCAGCCAGUGGCCCCCGGGGAGCCGAGCACCCUAACUUCGCCCUCAUGCAGCAGUCCUACAGCACCUUCAAGUACUACUCCCACUUCCUCUUCAAAGUGGUGAGCAAGCUGGUGAACCGUGGCUACCAGCCCCACCUGGAGGACUUCCUGUUGCGCAUCAACUUCAACAAUUACUACCAGGACGCCUGAGGCUGAAUAAAGGGGGCCUCAGCACCACAAAGACCAGGACUGACUGGCUCCUGGUGUCCUGCUGUCCCCAACGUUCUCCAGCACGCAUGUCUCCCAUGGGCUUCCUUCUAAAUAUUCCUCCCUUUCUGGAAACGAACUCCAAGGAAGCAAGCCCUGAGUACCCACCGGGGAUCCAUCUGGGGUCGGAAGGCGAGCCUUAGCUCCUCUAGGGAGGCACACUGUGUGGUCAGUGCAGCCAGGAACUCGUCCGGGUCCGGAGACUCUGGCCCAGCUGGGAAGGAGCUCAGCAAGUAGAAGGAGUUUGUGAAGUCAGCACCUAGAACAGGCAGCUGCUCAGGGCACCGUCCUGUCAACAGGUGACCACACCCAUCCAUCCAAUACACAUGUGUGGGCCGGGACUCCUGACUCCCCUCCAGCCUCUCCAGCCCCACCCAGGGUGGCCACCACUCUGAACCAGGCAAGUCACUCAGUUUCUCGAGGCUUCCAAGCCCCCGUGUCUUCCUCUGUCAAAUGAGUAAACAGCGAGGGGGCCCCGAGGUUGGCAUCACAGCUGCAGGGCCGAGAAACGCCCGGCACCGGGCGCAACGCUCGGCAGGCGUGUGAGGUCCUCAGCCUGACCUGUCAAAGCGCCGUCACCAUGGGCCCUAGGAAAACACCCCAAAGCAGACCCAACAGCAGAAGGGAAUCGGUGGUGUACAGAAGAAUCACCUAAGCAGGAGAGCCGUAACAGAAGACAAGGGCAAGACAGAGAAAGCAGAGCCCAGCGGGAGUCCCUCCUUGUCGGUAAUUACCUCAAAAGGAAACGGAUUAGUGUCUCCAUUCAAAGAGCAGAAACUGGCAGGAUGGAUAAAAAACAUUAUCCAGCUACAGUAAGAUACUCACUUUAAAGAAGUUGAAAGACACAAAUAACUAAAAGGAACAAAAGUGGGGGCAUCACAACUGAUCAUACAGAAAUAAGACUAAGAAAACACUAUGAACAGUAACCUAGGUAACAAUGAGUCAGAUCAUUUAUGGGACAGAUUCCUCAAAACAUAAGUUACCAAAAUUGACUCGAAACAAAAUCUAAAGUGUCCUAUAACAAAUAAUGAGAUUGAAUCAACAAUGAAAAACUUCCCUUAUAAACAGAAAUGAAAAACCUCAACAAAAUAUUUAAAGGACCAAGUGGGCUUUAUCCCCAGAAUGCCAGUUUGUGAACUGGAUGUUUCUGUGUCCCCUCCGCCCAAACUGACACCUUAAAACCCAAACCCCUAGUGGGAUGGUUUCUGGAGAUGGGGCCUGCGGGAGGUAGGUCAGGAGGGUGGAGCCCCCACGAUGGACUUUGUGCCCUUCUAAGAGGGGGCAGAGAGAGCUUCCCCGACCCCGCACUCUGCCAUGUGAAGACAGAGCCCGAGACGGUCUCCACCAGUGGCCCCACCUUGCCAGUGCCCUGACCCUGGAUGUCCAGCCUCCAGGUUGUGAGAUGGACUUUCAAUCAACUAAGACAGAGUGUGAAUGAAGGAACAGAACUGUAAUCAUCUCACUGAGGCAAAGCGGUGAGAACACUCAACUGGGGAGAGAAGGAAGCCUCCCCAGCUUGGUAAGAGCCUUGUAUCACCAGGCCCACGGCUCGCCUCACAGCCAGGUUCACAGGAUGGAGACUCGAGGUCAUCGGGCUGCGGGGGGUAGUCGGUGCUUCACGGGUACAGCGUUGAUGGGGGCACAACAGUGUGUGCACGGGGGUGGUGAAGGCCCAGUCUCGUGUCUCCUGUGCCUGCCCACGCUCACCUGUCAGGUGCAUGGUCUCCAGGAGCUUGGCUACCAAAGCGCCGUCCUCCGCCAGCUCCAUCCUCACGAGGCCCAGCUUCCUGCGCAUCUUCUGCAGGUAGUGUGUGCGGAACUCAGUGUCGAACUCCUCCGCCAGGAUGGCCUUGCCCAGCUCCAGGGGCAGCUCAGGGUCCAGGGCCUCAGCCAGCUUCUGCAGGUUCCACUUGCACACCUCGGGCUGCUUGCUGUAUGAAUAGCGCCCAGCAGUGUCGGAGGCGUUGCACACGUGGUCGGGGUCGUACCUGCCACAUGGGUGAGAGCCGGGUGCGCUCGAGGGCCCCACCGAGGGGCUGUGCAGACCUGGGUGCCCAAAGGCAGGGCCUGGGUGGCCACCACUUAGCUGCCCACUCCCGCAGGGAGUCUGGUUGGGCUGGCCCAACUCAAGGACCCUGCAGCUGUCUGUCCCUUCCCACACAUGUGAUCAAUUUCCACCUACAGAGCAGGGAAGCCACACUUCAGGCAGCCUGUCCCCUCACCUCCUGGCUCCUCCCCUGCCUUUCAGUGCACUAUCAGCCUGGGAGAGGGGCGCUUUCUAAAAUAUUCUCUGCUCAAAAUCCUCCAGGGCAUCCCUGCUAGCUGGCUGAGAAUUAAACAGGAACAGAUUGUUCGCAGAAGCAGCCACACACGCCUGCAGGUCGUUCCUGAGGCCCGGGCGGGGACCUCACCUGUCGAGGAAGCCGAAGGGCCCGUAGUCAAUGACCAGAAACACCAGGGAACCUUGACACCCUCAGAAGCAGGACCAGUGGAUGACCAUGUGGAAACAAGGAGGGCAGCUACCACAUUGUCAGGCAGACCUGCCCCAGGUACAGGCCACGGUGCCCACGGGCCUACCUCGCCCUGGGCUGGACCGCAGAAAGGAGGCUCGACUGACCCACCUGCCUAGGCCAGGGUCCAGCUGCCGCCCCCCAACCCCUGCCAGGCACAGUGCCCCAUACAGCCUCGGGCAGGUGCCCAUGCAGGGGAGCAGGACACAGGGCUGCAUGCACGUGCCUCAUCCCCGGGGUCGGGCAGCACCACUCUCGGCUUCAAUGACGAAGAGACCCAAGUUCAGAGUGGGGUCCCGGACCGCCCACCCUGGGUGUGAGCUGAGCCCCAGGACUCCCCUGGCAUCAUGACAGAAAGAAACAGUGCAGCUGAAGUGGGCUUGGGGGUGACUGGUGCAGGAUGGGACCCCAUAGCCACCUGCUUGGCAACCACUUCGGUGCUGACCCCUCACCCUGCCCUCUCCUCUGCCUCCACAAGGCCUGGCCUCUUGCACCGCCUACACUCCGACCGACAGGUGGGGGGCCCUGCCUGAGAGUUCUGGGGAUGGACUCUGCCUCGGGCUAGGAAAGUCCCGUGUCUCCCCCGAAUGGAGAGGCUGGGCUGGCCUGGCCAGGCUGUGUGGUUGGGGGCACUGUGUGCACAGGCCUCCCUUGGGAGGGGCCUGGCAUCCACCAGCACCCACUCCCACCUGAGCCGAGUGCCCCCCAGGGCUGUGUGGCACACAGGCCCCAUGGACGCCACUCAAACAGUGACCUAUGAGUGCGUCCCAGGACUCCUGACCCUCAGUGGUGUUUGUGAGAGGCUGGCCCUGGUCCGCACCCACCUCCCGGAAGAAGGCCACAUGCCUCUGCACACGGUCGCCAGCGUGAGCAGCCUGGAUCUCGGGGUAGAAAGUGCCGAUGACGUAGUCCAGCAUCUGCGCCCGGAUGUCGUUCCUGCCUACGCUGGGGCCCGCCCGCCCCGUGUGCUCAUCCGCAGGCUUGAAGAUCUCAAAGGACCCAAACCUGGAGGGAAGACACAUGUCCUCACUGCUUAAACAUGCUGCCUACCCCCACGCAAAGGAAGAGGGCCACGUGCAGCCCUGUGGCCAGAGUAGGAUGGAUACCCAAUUAAAACAAACCACGUGA